rnacentral:rRNA from 1 species
UACGUAGGGGCUAGCGUUGUCCGGAUUUAUUGGGCGUAAAGAGCGUGUAGGCGGCCAGAUAGGUCUGCUGUGAAAACUCGAGGCUCAACCUCGAGAUGUCGGCGGAAACCAUUUGGCUAGAGUCCGGAAGAGGAAAGUGGAAUUCCUGGUGUAGCGGUGGAAUGCGCAGAUAUCAGGAGGAACACCGAUGGCGAAGGCAGAUCUCUGGGCCGUAACUGACGCUGAGGAAGCGAAAGCGUGGGGAGCGAACAGG